rnacentral:tRNA from 2 species
GCGGGCGUAGCUCAGUUGGUUAGAGCGCCGGCCUGUCACGCCGGAGGUCGCCGGUUCGAGUCCGGUCGCUCGCG